rnacentral:rRNA from 1 species
GACAGAGGAGCCAAGCGUUGUCCGGAUUGACUGGGCGUAAAGCGCACGCAGGCGGCCCGGCGCGUGGGGUGUGAAAGCUGGCGGCUUAACUGCCAGACGCCAUCCCAUACGGCUGGGCUCGAGCCCUGCAGACGGUCCAUGGAAUUGCCGGUGUAGUGGUGAAAUGCGUAGAGAUCGGCAGGAACACCCAGGGGGAAACCGAGUGGACUGGGCAGG